UGCCUGCAUAUUGUACUUUCUGCUAGGAUAUAUGGGAAAAUAACCUCCAGCUAAAGGGCAGAUGGAGAGGGACUUCAAGUUUUCAGUGUUUUUGUCUUCACAACUCCAGAAAGGGAAGAAAAAUAAACCAUGUGGAACCAUGUUCUGCUGUCCUCUGCCAGCCAUUAGCCCUAGUAAUUUGAUUCAAGGAUAUUUAUGACCUACUUUUCGAAUCACUGCAACGCAGACAGUGCUGUUUCUACGUUUCUUGCUGAGAAACCAAUGGACAAGGAGAAAUUGUGUGUUCUGUAAAGGGGUGGGUAGGCUUCUCUGGAUAUUCUGGAAAGUCCACCAUGUAAACACAGGUCUGUUUUCCUAGGAUUCCUUACAGGGCUGGAGCCUUGGGGAGGGUUUUUCUUGUCCUCAUUGGUGCUUAUUCCCUCAGACCCUCACUGGCAAUAAUUAGAUCUCAUCUGGCAGAGCGUGUGGGCCCCACCUCUCUCUGAAAUGUCUUUCUUUCAUUAAGAAUGGAGUCAUGUCAGUAUGGACAGCUGGCACCAGAGGGAAAGGAAGUGUUUGUAACCGUGCCUGUGCUCCUUGACACCUGAGAGGUCAAAUCCCCGACACUGAAAACAAUUCCUCAGGAGAACACGUGCAGGGCAAAUUGGUGGAAGAAAUCCAUGAUUACAUGUCUUUCUAGCUCUCAGACACCAUUGUUGAGGUUUUUUUUCCAGAGGUUCUUUCAUCAGAGCUGGGCCUGAGUGGAGAUGAAUGAGGUCGUCAUUCUAGUGCAGGGAUGGAUCCUAUCUUUAUUUAGCAUUUAAAAAUUUUGCUCUUCCUCUUUUUUUUUUGCAUGUAUUUUGGUUAAAAAAAAUGCUCUUUUGGAUUGAAUAGUGUCCCCCUCAAGUUCUGAAUCUUAGAAUGUGACCUUAUUUGGAAAGAGAGUCUGUGGAUGUAAUUAAGAUAAGGUCACACUGGAGCAGGGCGGUUUCUAAAUCUUUCUAAGAGGACCAUGUGAUACACAGAGACACAAAGGGAAGAUCCACAUGUGAAGACAGAGGCAGAGCCUGUAGUGAUGCUGUGACAAGCCAACGGAGCGCUGAAGAUUGUUGCGACCAGCAGGAGCUGGGAAGAGGCAAGGAAGUUACAUCUUUAGAGCUGUUGGGGGAAGCAUGGCCCUGCUGACACAUUGACUUCUGGCUUCUAGCUUCCAGGACUGUGACAGAAUAAAUUUCUGUUGUUUGGAGGUAUCCA
rnacentral:lncRNA from 12 species